UGGUGGCAAUAGCGCUGUGGAACCACCUGAACCCAUUCCGAACUCAGAAGUGAAACGCAGCUGCGACGAUGGUAGUGUGG
rnacentral:rRNA from 2 species